rnacentral:rRNA from 1 species
GGCAGCCGCGGUAAUUCCAGCUCCAAUAGCGUAUAUUAAAGUUGUUGCAGUUAAAAAAGCUCGUAGUUGAAUUUCGGAAUCAGUACGGCGGUCGUGCCUCUGGUAUGUACUGUUGUUACUGGUUUCUCCCUUCUGAAGAACUAUCAUGUCAUUAAUUUGGUGUGGUGGGGAAUCAGGACUGUUACUUUGAAAAAAUUAGAGUGUUUAAAGCAGGCUCGCGCUUGAAUACAUUAGCAUGGAAUAAUGAAAUAGGACGUUUGAUCCUAUUUUGUUGGUUUCUAGGAUUGACGUAAUGAUUAAUAGGGAUAGUUGGGGGCAUUAGUAUUCAAUUGU